rnacentral:lncRNA from 1 species
GUUGGGUAGUGGUGACUUAAGUGGUAGUGUGCUUGCCUAGCAUGCACUAGGUCCUGGGUUCCAUCCCCAGUACCAAAAUCAAAAAGAAAUCCCCAAAUUCCCUCAUGUCAUAAUGACCAUAGUUCCCAACAAGAAAGAGUACAUAAUCCAGUUCCAGGGAAGUAGAUCUGACUUAAAGCUCUUUGCAUUCCCGUGAGCAUGAGACUGGAAAAAAAGUGGGAGGUUGGGAAAGAUACUUGGUAUUUGCAUUUAGAUUAGCAAAAAUUAAAAAUACCUCCUGUAAGGUUAAGUUUGUACCUGUUUAUGGACAAAUAGAGCCAUGGGGCUCAAGGCUAGAUAGGCUGUUUCCUUUUGAGGAGUUAAUGACACUUUAUUCACUGAAAGUGGGAUUUCAGUGCAGAAGUAGCUCUAGCUUCUAAAUUCCCAGCUAGAUUUGGAAGCCAGUGUUGGAGAAUAGCAGGGAUGGCCAGUAUGAAAUGAUGGAAAGGACAUAAUUUUGCCAGCUUAAAUUUUUUUUUAGGUAUAUAUUCAAGAUUGAGAUCUGGACACCUGUGUAGUUAAAGUGAGUCUACUUUAAUCUCUGUAGAGGUUUCCUGUAGUACAUCCAUACAUCUUAUAGCUGCUAGCUUUGCUUCCCUUAGGAUUUUUUAGUGUGAGCACCAGUCAUUUCUAGGCCAUUCAGGGCCUGUACGUCCUGGCUCCCAUUAGAUAUUUAGACCACGUUUGGAUAAGAAGUACCAACCUCUAAGAUGGCAUUGAAGGGGCCAAAAAAAUUUUUUUUUAAGAUGUAGAAAAGAGUUGGUAAAUCUAAUCUGGUCCUUUGUAAGUUCCAUCAUUAGUAAUGGCCAAUUGACAGGGCCACUUUGGGCCAAACUCCUCCACUGGAUGUACAGAUCUUUGUGGCCUUACCUUUAACAAUUGUAUCCAUACAGUGUUCUCAUCAACUGAAAUCAUUUCAAACUUUGAGUGAUGCUCCAUCCCAUCGCUUGUCAGUGAACCUAUGAAGGUCAGCCCAUUUCUUAGAAAUAGCCCAGCUCUGUCUGGGCUUCAGCUUUCAGGGCGUUCUACCCUGGAUUUAUGAAUCUGUGAUACUCCACAUCUGGUAAAGCAGGGCUGACCUGUCUAGACACUCCUCUCAGGGAGGUGGACAGACAAACGCUAACCUGGCUACUUUAUGGGGUAGGCUGGGGUGGGGAGAUACACACCAACCUGGCUAACUGGGCUCUUUUCCAUAAAUAUCUCAAAGGUUGAUAGUUCCAUGUUAAAAUUUGGGAUAGAAUAGGAC